rnacentral:snRNA from 1 species
UUUUGUCUUCGAGAAGAUAAUG